GUCAGUUGCUGUGUCGCCUCUCCCUGUCAUGGAUUAUUCUAAGUACCUGGGACGCUGUCUGCUAUUUUUUUUCUUGGCCCUAAUAUUUGAUGUUGCUGGCCUAAUCCUCUUUUUCUUGGGGAUUUUUGCCCCCUUUUCUUUCUGGGAUUUCUUUGUCCUGUCUGGACCACUGGUCAUUUUCCUCAGCCUGGUAUUCUGGAUAUUUUGGUACUUGGGGAACCUCACUCUCUCCGAAGAAGAGCUGCUUCUUCCAAUGUAAAGUGCAUCUUGUCACUAAAAUGGCACUGGUUUCCAUUGAAAGCAUUUACACGUACUGUGGACCUUGUGGAGCUGGAGGAAUUGCAUCAGUUUGCCAUGGAAGCUUUUCUUGGGAAAAGAGAAUAUAAGCAUCCAUUUUUCUCCAACGGAAAGGAAUAUGUUGCUCUAUGAGACAGAAAAGAUUUUCCAUCUUCUCCUCUGAACUUGAUUUCGGCUGGACCUUAAAGGUCACAAUGUGUGAACUGUAUCUUAAGGACUUGCCUUUGAGAGCAAACAUCAACGAUGGCUUCAGGAAAGCCUGCACACACCUUUCCAAACCUGAUUCCUUAUUUAUUUUUCAAAUACGAACAAUGUCAUCCAGUUUCAUCAUUUUAUUUUUAGUUUUUAUCAUUUAACAAUGAAUAUUGUUAUCAUGACCAUAUCCAUACUCAGGUACAAUGUAUCAAGAUAGAUGUUUUGUAAGGCAUUUACACUCAAAGAAGGUGAAUGCCAAACAAAUAUCACUUGGGGAACACUGUGACCUUAAGGGGGGUGCAAUAGAUGAAUACAGUGCUGAUAAUAGAGAAAGGUGUAGAGAAAAUGUCUUUAUUGGGGGCAUUAAUAUUGAGUCUUGGUGAAAUGCCUUCAAUCUAUAUAUAUAUAUAUAUAUAUAUAUAUAUAUAUAUAUAUAUAUAUAUAUAUAUAUAUAUAUAUAUAUAUAUAUAUUUGCAGAAAGGCCAUUUUAUGGGAAUGUUUGCCUGAAACCUCUGCUGCUGCUAGAUAUGCCAUCACAACCAAAACCAGCCUAACUGGAUUUGUUUCUUCAGGAGUGUGUUACCAUGUGAUCUCAACCGACAAUAGACUUAGAACAGGAAACAGAUCUACCCUUUCUCAACAGCUCUAAAUAAGCCUGGAAUUUCUCUGCAGUUGUAUGAUAAUUAAACAGGAAUGUAUUAUUUCACUGCAACCUGGUAUGGUAAUCGCAUGAAUCUACAAGCUGGAGUAAGCCUAAAAACAGUAUGUAAUGUAAAACAUAACUGGUUUUUCAACUGAGAGACACGCCCCGUGGCUGUUAUGUGAUGACAUUUAAGAUGUGCCACGUUCUGCUCUAUGUACCUGAAUCUACGGUAAAACGAGUUAACCAUUCAGACGAGAAUCUGAAAUGGACAAAGCAGCAUUUCAGGAAGAAAACAUGAUUGAGUGAGCCAAAACAUUAAUGGCUGCCAAUGUAAAUGCAGGGAUAUGUAACUGAGGAUCCCACAGAGUCACAAAUAGUUUUCCCUGAACCAAAUUAACAAAGGAGGGCUUAUGCUGUGGUUUUGCAUUGUACACACAACAACAUAUUCACCAAGUGAUAUCCCAGUGCUUGUAUGUUGAGAAGCUGUUACAAAUUGUAUGCGAUGUCACUAUUUCCAUUACUGAGAACAGCUAUUGUGUGUAGGUUUAAUUAUCUCUCUGUUUUGCAUAUGCACUCUCAAACAUUCAUACAAAGAAGUGUUUGUGUCCUUAUGUAUAAUGUAUCACUGUGGCUAGUAUACUAUGCAGGAAGUAUAGGUUAGGUACUGCAUUUGGCUUCCUGGCUGAAAUGCGAUGAACAGUAUUGUGAGAACCCGCUCACACCUGUGGGAUGAAGUUUCCUGUUUACAGCAAAUUAAAUUGUCUCUCUGUCUAUUCAAGCAUUCAAUGCUGACACCUCUGAAAAGUAACCGUCACACACAGCAGGGCCAGAACAUGAUACCGCUUUGCACCACUGGAAACAAAGAUGGUGAGAUAAGGUUCUACCUGUUGUCAAACAGAACACUCCCUCAGGCCACUCCCUGUUUUUUUAUUUGCGUUUCUUUUUUCUUUUCUUUUUUGUUGUUUGCUGGCAGCCAUUGUUUCCAUGAUUCUGUUCUCUCAAUCAGGAUGUUUCAUUCCAGGAAAAAAAGUUAUUAUCUAAUAUUAAGGUAGAAAUACUGCACCCAUGGUUUGUGAACACGCACCCAAAUAAGCAAACAUGUUUUUAUCAUUUGCACAUUUUUUUAUCCAAACAGGUCUGACCAAGAACAGAAUGAUGAAGCAUAUGCGGGGACAUUAUUGGCAGUGUAGAACUACACAGUGCCAAUUUCAGUUGGAUUAUGUUUACAUUCUCAUAUAUUUUGCCAUCAUGUUCAGAAAUUCAGAAUACUCAGUAUAUUCGGGCCUAAUUUUGUUUCAUAUUUCUUGUUCUUUCUUAUAGUUACAAUGUGGAGCACCUAUGGGAUGCAUAAAAACACUUCUUAAGAGAUGCAUGUGGAUUUGUAACAGUUGCACAAUUGUCCAUGUCAUAAAACUAUUAUAAUGUAUCAGGUAUCAUAAUUACUUCUACCAGUAAAAUAAUGUCCUUCCUUGUCAGUUUAUUGUAUCCUGUGACUAUUGUGUAUAUCAGCUACAAUAUGCAAGUGUUGAGGAUGUCAAAAUAAAUGAAUUUCACUCUGCACUUCCUACCAAUAAAGCAUCUUGCAUAGCCAUGA